GAUGAACGCUGGCUACAGGCUUAACACAUGCAAGUCGAGGGGAAACGACGGGGAAGCUUGCUUCCCCGGGCGUCGACCGGCGCACGGGUGAGUAACGCGUAUCCAACCUGCCUCUGACUGAGGGAUAACCCGUCGAAAGUCGGCCUAAUACCUCAUGGCAUCGUCUGCGGGCAUCCAACGACGAUUAAAGAUUUCAUCGGUCAGGGAUGGGGAUGCGUCUGAUUAGCUUGUUGGCGGGGUAACGGCCCACCAAGGCGACGAUCAGUAGGGGUUCUGAGAGGAAGGUCCCCCACAUUGGAACUGAGACACGGUCCAAACUCCUACGGGAGGCAGCAGUGAGGAAUAUUGGUCAAUGGGCGAGAGCCUGAACCAGCCAAGUAGCGUGCAGGAUGACGGCCCUAUGGGUUGUAAACUGCUUUUAUGCGGGGAUAAAGUGAGGGAACGUGUCCUUUCAUUGCAAGGUACCCGCAUGAAUA
rnacentral:rRNA from 1 species